GUCCCUGUAGAUCAGUUGGUAGAGCAUCUGUACGUGGUGAAUAACUGCCAGGAGGUCGUAGGAUCGAAGCCUGGCCGGGAUU